CUUGUAGGUUUAUUAAAAUGUCAAAAACUAAAUUGCUUGAUUUUAAAAUUACAGGAUUAAGUUCUAGGUUUAACUAAAUCUCAAAGCUAAAUUGUCUAUAAAAUAAAACCCUAAGGACCAAAUUGUUUUCAAAUCGAAAAUAGAGUUAAACGCAUUUUGGUCAUUUUUGCUAGAAUUAACGAUAACUUAACUAAAAUUAUAAUGGUGGGAACUAACUUGUAAGUUUAUUAAAAUGUCCAGGAUUAAACUGAUUGGUUUUGAAACUAUAAGGACGAAGUUGUAGGUUUAACCUACCUCAAGGAUUAAAUUGUAGUUUACCCUAAAUUAUGCUAUGAAAAGAAAUGGUUUUGAGCUGGGCGAGUCUUAGGUAACAAGUGGCCUUGCACGAUACAUGUUUUUUGCUUUCAUUCUAUUAACCUUUAUGUGCAAAUUGCUAAACGAUUAUAUUUUCGUAAAUAGUAUAAACAGAAAGUGCUCUCUGCUGUAGCAUUUGUCUUCCUUGAACUAAGAUCCCAAUGAAGAAAAUCUCUCUUGUUUAAAAUCUUGCAUAAAGCCUUUAUGAGAAAUAAUCAAGCUCCUCUGGAAAUACGGACAACAUGCCAACAAUUGCCUAUAUUACUAAAAAGCGAGAUUGCCUCAUCCAAAUGCAUAUGAUCUGGUUACAAUGCAUAUCUGGACAAAAUAUCUGUGACCGUUACAGUUAAUAUUGUCUACACCUCAAAAAAUUAUUAAGAAAAAGAAAGAAAGCUGCAUGUUGAAUUAAUGAAAGAGACUCCUAGGGUCAAGUUUACCUCUUACUUGUUGAAUCUUCUCAA
rnacentral:misc_RNA from 1 species